GGAAAAGUCUCCGAAUUGGACUGAGGUUUUGGCUAGCCCCCCAUUGUCAGACGUCCCGAGCGCGUUCCCGAAGUCGGAAUCGGCAAAGGUGAGCCGGGACAGCCUUCUUCCUCCGCCCAGCCGCCACAGUAAUUUGUCGUCAAGUCUGCCACAGGAGGAUAUUUUGUUCUGGGUUAACCUGCCUUUUUACCUCGCAGGUUGUUUAUCAAUAUUGUGUAAUUUUAAUUACUCCUAGAAUUUCCGCAUGUGUUAGCAGUAAUUAUUUGAAAUUGGUCUGUAAUAUUAUAUUCAUGUUGGACCUGUAAACUUAAUAUUUUAAGUCUGUUUGAUGGAUUGGAUGAGGGAGCUGAGCUCCCAUUUAUUAUUA